AUGCAAGUGACCACAAUGAUUCCAGUGCAUUGACCAUCACCAAGAAAAGAAAGAGCCUUCACUGGAAAAAGAAAGAAAGAAAAAAAAACAGGGUGCCCUGGACCAAAGCUGACACUGAAAUCCUUAAGCGCAUAUUUCAUCCAUGUAUUACAUCAAAUAAGCCUCCAACAAAAAAUGAUGUUUUAUUAGGGACAAGGAAAAACACUUAUGUGAAAACAAUGUUCGAAAAAAGAGGCUGGAAGUGUAUUAAGUAUUACGUUUGGAGCCUGACACAGCAGCAUCAGAAAAAAAAGAUGAAACUUUUGCAAGCAUCUUCUUUGCGGAACUAAAUCUAUGUUAUGUUCGUCAAGAAAUGUUUUGAUUCCAAUAAUGAAGAGUGUGCCGUUUUUGGUGUUUUACUUUACUUUUAUUUACUUGUGACGACGAAAUGACUCGGUUGAAUUAAUUCCAUUUCUCGGAAGAACCUAGGAUAGAAUUAUCUACGUACAUUUGUUUUGCAUCCAAUGAUACACUGUAUAUGUACUUAUAUCAGCAAAUGUUAAUUGGUGCUCUGAAUGAGUUAGACAUUUAGUACAUACAAUUUUCUCCUCACAAAAUUUAAAUAAUUUUCUUGCAAAUUCCCUUUGAACAUUUAGCUUGAAUCCUUAUGUCUCCAUCACCGUCAGUCUUUGCCUUUGUGGCAAAAUCCUCAAUGUUUAUUCUAAGGCUUCUUCUGUUUCUUAAUAAUAAUUCCAUUCACUCUCCAAAAUAACUCGUCUUAAUUUGAUCCAGGGAAAUACCUGUGUUUGACAUUUAAGUGGCAAUGCAAGAUAUACAAGCGAAUGUUUGUUACCACUAUUUUUCAUUAAAAAAGAUAAAAUUAGGACCUGUUUCAUUUGUAUGGAUGAUUUUAAAUAUAUAUAAUCAAUGUCAUCAAGGUCAUAUAUUGGAAUAAGAAAUCCUGACCUUUUACAUAGUACUAUGGAAGUAUUAGAGAACUCUCAAUGAUAACAAAUCUCAGAUAUAGUGCAGAGGAAAAUGUGAAAUGUUACAUUGUAUGUGUUUAUUUAAUGCAAUAUUGCAUUCAAUAUUAGUAUGAUGCCAUGUUAUUUUCAACUUACUACAUUUCAUGUUUAAGCCUAAGGCUAUUUGGAUAUUUAUACCCUUCGAUGCAAAACAAUGCAAUGUUUGAUAUCUUUUGAAGACUGAGAGAUUUGUUUUUUUGAAUUUCAGUUAUUGUUUAAUUUGGUAUUGAAGAUAAAAAAUGUUCACUGUUGAUUUGAUUGCGAUCUUUACAGCUAGUGCUAGCUAUCUAGUUGUUAUUAUUUGUUUUUGUGUGAAUAAAUCCAUUGUAUCAA